rnacentral:lncRNA from 1 species
AAAAAAAAACAAAAAAAAAACGUUUCAUUGUUGUUACCUUUCAUAUUGGUCCGAACUACGCAAGGUCUGAUUCAUGCGGGGUCAUGAUACGUAGGCAAUCUCCAUAAGAUUCGACCACAACAAAAAAAAUGAGAAAAAAAUCGAAAAAAUGAAAAAUCGAAAACAAAAUCGAAAAAAAAAAGAAAAAAGAAAAUGAAAAAAAAAGGAAAAGAUGUUGUUAAUAAUGGGGACCGACUGAGUCCAUUCUAACCUGUUUUGUUUUGAAUCGCAAAGAAAGAAGGUGGUUGGUUUGUGGUAAGCCGGAAAUACAAGACCCAGAAGCACACUUUGCGGGGAUCAGGCCUCAUAACAGAAGCACUCGAAUCCUAUUGGGAAUUGUUGACUAAGGAUGAUGAUAUCGAAGUUGAAAAUGGUUUGGACAAUACUGAUGCAAAGCUCAGUGGCUAAAGAUGCCAAUUUUGAUAAAAUGGGAGGACGCUCCAUUCCUUGGUUAGCAAGAGAGAAGCUUGGGGUGGCUUAUUUUGUUGUCAUUUCUGUUGUCCGGAUUAUUCUUAGGGUUGUAAUCCGAAUAUUGUCUUGUGUCAAACCUUCUUAUCUUUCCAUUUUGUCAUAUCAGUUUGUUUAAGUUCUGUCAAGGCUGUGUUAGGAU